CAAUAGCGUAUAUUUAAGUUGUUGCAGUUAAAAAGCUCGUAGUUGGAUUUCGGAUGGGAUUUGCCGGUCCGUCGUUACGAUGUGCACUGGCCAGUCCUAUCUUGUUGUCGGGGACUAGCUCCUUGGAUUCACUUCCUGGGACUAGGAGCUGACGAGGUUACUUUGAGUAAAUUAGAGUGUUCAAAGCAAGCCUACGCUCUGAAUACAUUAGCAUGGAAUAGCACGAUAGGACUCUGGCUUAUCUUGUUGGUCUGUGAGACCAGAGUAAUGAUUAAGAGGGACAGUCGGGGACAUUCGUAUUUCAUUGUCAGAGGUGAAAUUCUUGGAUUUAUGAAAGACGAACUUCUGCGAAAGCAUUUGUCAAGGAUGUUUUCAUUAA
rnacentral:rRNA from 1 species